rnacentral:misc_RNA from 1 species
UUUCCGUAGGUGUACCUGCGGAAGGAUCAUUAUUGUAUAACCGAGGUGCGAGGGCUGUCGCUGACCCGACAGGUCGUGCACGCCCGAGUGCCCUCACACACAUCCAUCUCACCCCUAUGUGCACCACCGCGUGGGUCCCCCUUUGGCUUGUUCGGAGGGGGGCUUACGUUUUCACACAAACUUUGUAUGCAGUGUAGAAUGUAUUUUUUGUUUUUGCGAUCACGCAAUCAAUACAACUUUCAACAACGGAUCUCUUGGCUCUC